rnacentral:rRNA from 1 species
UACGGAGGGUGCGAGCGUUAAUCGGAAUUACUGGGCGUAAAGCGCGCGUAGGCGGCUUAUUAAGUCGGAUGUGAAAGCCCCGGGCUCAACCUGGGAACUGCAUUCGAUACUGGUGAGCUAGAGUAUGGGAGAGGGCUGUGGAAUUCCACGUGUAGCGGUGAAAUGCGUAGAUAUGUGGAGGAACAUCAGUGGCGAAGGCGGCAGCCUGGCCCAAUACUGACGCUGAGGUGCGAAAGCGUGGGGAGCAAAC